UACGUAGGUGGCGAGCGUUGUCCGGAUUUACUGGGCGUAAAGAGCGCGCAGGCGGUCGUACAAGUCGCGUGUGAAAGCCCCCGGCUCAACUGGGGAGGGUCACGCGAUACUGUUCGACUCGAAGGCAGGAGAGGGAAGUGGAAUUCCCGGUGUAGUGGUGAAAUGCGUAGAUAUCGGGAGGAACACCAGUGGCGAAGGCGACUUACUGGACACAUAUUGACGCUGAGGUGCGAAAGCAUGGGGAGCGAACAGG
rnacentral:rRNA from 1 species